rnacentral:rRNA from 1 species
ACCCCAUGGAGCUUUAAACCCAACAACACCUAUCUAUUUUAUUCCCCCAUAUUUAUACGGUUAUGUUUGUUUGGUUUUAGGUUGGGGUGACCGCGGAGUAUAAAACAACCUCCACGAAGAAAAGACUAAUAAUCUUUAUCAGAGAAAGACAUUUCUAAGAAAUAAUAUAUUAACUUUAAAUGAUCCGAUAUUCGAUUAACGAAUCAAGUUACCCUGGGGAUAACAGCGCAAUCCACCUUAAGAGCCCUUAUCAACAGGUGGGUUUACGACCUCGAUGUUGGAUCAGGGUAUCACAGUGGUGCAGCAGCUACUAAUGGUUCGUUUGUUCAACGAUUAAAACCCU